rnacentral:rRNA from 1 species
AACGAACGCUGGCGGCAUGCCUAACACAUGCAAGUCGAACGAGACCUUCGGGUCUAGUGGCGCACGGGUGCGUAACGCGUGGGAACCUGCCCUUAGGUUCGGCAUAACUCCCCGACAGGGGUGCUAAUACCGGAUCAUGUCUUCGGACCAAAGAUUUAUCGCCUUUGGAUGGGCCCGCGUUGGAUUAGCUAGUUGGUAGGGUAAAAGCCUACCAAGGCGACGAUCCAUAGCUGGUCUGAGAGGAUGAUCAGCCACACUGGGACUGAGACACGGCCCAGACUCCUACGGGAGGCAGCAGUGGGGAAUAUUGGACAAUGGGCGAAAGCCUGAUCCAGCAAUGCCGCGUGAGUGAUGAAGGCCUUAGGGGUGUAAAGCUCUUUGACCCGGGAUGAUAAUGACAGUACCGGGAGAAUAAGCUCCGGCUAACUCCGUG